rnacentral:lncRNA from 1 species
CAUAGCUAUCUACAUGAGCUUCCCUUACGGACACUUGAGCUUGUGCCCUUUGCUUAAAUCAGCUUCCCUCUUUCUUUCAGGAUGGCUGGCAUUGCCAUCAGGGAAGCCUCUUCAGGAGGUGGUGGUAGCAGCAGCAAUUUCCACAUCAAUGUAGAAGAGUCAGUGGAUGGACAGGUGGUUUCUUCCCACAAGAGAGAAAUCUAAGUGUCUAUUGCAGGAGAAACGUCCCUUGCCACUCCCCACUCUCAUCAGGCCAAGUGGAGGACUGGCCAGAGGGCCUGCACAUGCAAACUCCAGUCCCUGCCUUCAGAGAGCUGAAAAGGGUCCCUCGGUCUUUUAUUUCAGGGCUUUGCAUGCGCUCUAUUCCCCCUCUGCCUCUCCCCACCUUCUUUGGAGCAAGGAGAUGCAGCUGUAUUGUGUAACAAGCUCAUUUGUACAGUGUCUGUUCAUGUAAUAAAGAAUUACUUUUC